UUAUCUAUUCUUCCAAUUCAUAGGGUAUCAUUGAUAAAAUAUAUUCUAUCCGUCGAGCUCUCACUUGGUCGUCCAAGCAUCCUCCCAGUUCCGAUGGAGGAGGGUGGCUAUGGGUUUCGGGAUCUCAAAGUGUGGAACAAGGCGCUUCUUUCUUGUAUUCUAUGGGAAGUGCAAGCAAAGCAGGAUACUUCGUGGAUCAAAUGAAUACAUCCCUGAGCAAUAAUGAUUUAUGGACAUAGACUCAAGUGUUGGCUUGGGAUGCGACAUGAAAAGAGUACCCACAAGCCUAUGUUUCGAGUCUUCAAAAGGGUGUACAAGGGGCACAAGUUCUAACCAAGGCAAGAUAAUUAGUCAUGCCCUCCAUGGUGUAUUAUUACAUAAUUACAUUUGGAAGGCUAGGAACCGUUGUAUUUUUGCAGAAAGUCUUUCAAUAUCCACCCGUGCUCUAUCAAAAUAACAAGUGGAUGCUUAUAGAACCUUGAACAUCGGGUCUCUAGUAACAAAUGGUUUAAAUUGACUUAAUGUUCAAGGAUUGGUACCUGCUUCAAGCAUGUCAAAAUUUGGAUUUUAAAUCACAUAAUUUGUACGUACAUUUACCAGUAAAAAAAGACUAUAGUUUAAUGGAAUUCAAGUCUUAGAUUUGCACCCUUUUAAAGGCAAGCGCACGAGAGAGAGCUUCACAUCCAAACACAUUCACAACGUGAUAAGUUGUGAUUCAAUAUACAUUAGCCAUAUUGCCCCAAACUUCCCAAUGUGAGACUAAACUUUCAUUCAUAUUAGAGUCCAUUUUAUAUUUUUCCAUUCACUUUUCCAACAUUGACUACAAGAUAUAGCUCCACUGCACGUUGGAUAUGAAAUUAUUCUUCAUAUGGAGUUGGAGAUACUUACA